AGCGAUCGGUCCGCCUCAUUCGGGGUGUGUACUUGUGUCGUCUCCAGCCAUCCUUGAGGAGAACUGUUCUGGCAUUGAGUUGUUGGGGCAGGGAACCUCAUCUUUUACUGUGAAAAAAUUAGAGUGUUUAAAGCAGGCUUACGCCGUUGAAUACAUUAGCAUGGAAUAAUAAGAUAGGACUUUGGCGGUCUAUUUUGUUGGUUUGCACGCCGAGGUAAUGAUUAAUAGGGAUAGUUGGGGGUAUUCGUAUUUAAUUGUCAGAGGUGAAAUUCUUGGAUUUCUGAAAGACGAACUACUGCGAAGCAUUUACCAAGGAUGUUUUCAUUAAUCAAGAACGAAAGUUAGGGGAUCGAAGAUGAUUAGAUACCAUCGUAGUCUUAACCAUAAACUAUGCCGACUCGGGAUUGGCGGGCGGUUCUCUUUAUUGACUCCGUCUAGCACCGUAUGAGAAUCAAAGUC
rnacentral:rRNA from 1 species